rnacentral:antisense_RNA from 1 species
GUGGGAGCUGAGCUUGCUCGCGAUGGCAGUGGGUCAUCCAGAGAUGAUAUUGGCUGACAGGCCGCUAUCGCGAGCAAGCUCGGCUCCCAC